CCCUUAGAUGUUCUGGGCUGCACGCGCGUUACACUGAUGCAUUCAACGAGCUUAUAACCUUGGCCGAGAGGCCUGGGCAAUCUUGUUAACGUGCAUCGUGAUAGGGAUAGAUUAUUGAAAUUAUUAAUCUUGAACGAGGAAUUCCUAGUAAACGCAGAUCAUCAAUCUGCAUUGAUUACGUCCCUGCCCUUUGUACACACCGCCCGUCGCACCUACCGAUUGGAUGGUCCGGUGAAGCCUCCGGAUUGGCGCGCACCUCGGUGCCGCCGAGAAGUUGGCUAAACCUUACCAUUUAGAGGAAGGUGAANUCGUANCA
rnacentral:rRNA from 1 species